rnacentral:snoRNA from 1 species
AGACCAUGAUGAGGGUACCUCUAUACAAGCAACUUAAAAUGCUCCCAAACUUCAUAAAAGUUUUCUCCUUCCAUCUGUUUGAAGUCGGUAAUGUCUCUUCUCAGUUG